UACGGGGGGAGCAAGCGUUGUUCGGAUUUACUGGGCGUAAAGGGCGCGUAGGCGGCCAGCACAAGUCAGUUGUGAAAUCUCCGAGCUUAACUCGGAACGGUCAACUGAUACUGUGCGGCUAGAGUGCGGAAGGGGCAACUGGAAUUCUUGGUGUAGCGGUGAAAUGCGUAGAUAUCAAGAGGAACACCUGCGGCGAAGGCGGGUUGCUGGGCCGACACUGACGCUGAGGCGCGAAAGCCAGGGGAGCGAACAGG
rnacentral:rRNA from 1 species